rnacentral:rRNA from 1 species
CCCUUAGAUGUUAUGGGCAGCACGCGCGCUACAAUGGUCUUCGCAAACGGAUGCAUUCUCGAAGGAGAAUGCCAAUCUUGGAAUCUAUGCCUUGGUCGGGACAGUUGCUUGCAAUUUUUCGACUCGAACCAGGAAUUCCUUGUAAUCGUGAUUCAUCACAUCACGAUGAAUACGUCCCUGCCCUUUGUACACACCGCCCGUCGCUCCUACCGAUCGAAGAGUUAGGUGAAUUGUUUUGAUCGAUAAGAUUUGACUAUGGUCAACUCUCGUUGUGAAAUUCUGUGAAUCUGACUGUUUAGAGGAAGGAAAAGUCGUAACA